CAAAGAACUUUGAAGAGAGAGUUCAAGAGGGCGUGAAACCGUUUAGAGGGAAACGGGUAGAGCCAAUGAAAACUCGCAGCAUUCAGCCUGAGCUUUGCAAGGGUGUAUUUGCUGUGGGUGGCGCUGAAAGGAGUAGUGCUCGCAUGCAGAAGCGGGUUCAGAGGACUGUUUCGGCAGAACCCUGGGCUUGUGACGCGGCCUUUGUGCUACUUCUGGGUUGCUGGCCCUCGCGACGGCGUAUCUUUAUGGCGCUGAGUGGGUUAGUCUGGUGCAGGAGCUUGCUCCGGUGCUGGCUAGCUAGCUUGGAAUCGUGAUGAGGAGCCCAGCAAUGUUUCAGUGAAAAAGUUGGCCGCCUACCUGACCCGUCUUGAAACACGGACCAAGGAGUCUAACAUGUGCGCGAGUUAAAAGGUGGUAAGCCUAUAGAGCGCAAUGAAAGUAAAGGUCGGUUUAACCGGCUUAUAUGGGAUCGUAGUUUCACGACUUCGAGCACCAUAGUCCCGUCGCGUCUGCAUGUCAGUGCGGCGGAGACAGAGCGUACACGUUGGGACCCGAAAGAUGGUGAACUAUGCCUGAGCAGGAUGAAGCCAGGGGAAACUCUGGUGGAGGUCCGAAGCGGUUCUGACGUGCAAAUCGAUCGUCAGACUUGGGUAUAGGGGCGAAAGACUAAUCGAACCAUC
rnacentral:rRNA from 1 species